GUAAGAGCCCCGAAUGAUCUUUCAGGAGUAUGCGCGUCUACGCUUGGAACCGACACUGAGUCAGCGCCAUUCUUCCGAGCUCAUGACUCUGGACAUCGCCCGAGUCGAUGAGAUACUAAUCGGCUGAAACCCGAGGCGCAGUGCGGCGAUUCCCGUCAUCCAACGAGGAGCGCUGUUGACUUGCGAAGCCAUUUCCGUCCCCGUUGCGCUAUAAAGGGUGAGUCUUCCCUUCCCCAGGUUCCUCAGCUAUCAAUCGCGAUUCUCUGGUCGCCUGUAUCGUAUCUCUUCCACUUCAUCGGAGAGGGCGGUGCCAUCAGCCUCGAAUCUGUUCCUCCGUAUCUUAGGAGAGAUCUCGGGUUUUCUCCCCAGUGACUUGGUAUUUCAGAGUACCCGUGCCCAAAGCAACUGGGUGGUGAUUUCGAUGGCGAUACGCGAUUCUCUUCUGUUCNNNNN
rnacentral:lncRNA from 1 species